rnacentral:rRNA from 1 species
CCUACGGGGGGCUGCAGUGGGGAAUAUUGGGCAAUGGGCGCAAGCCUGACCCAGCAACGCCGCGUGAAGGAAGAAGGCUUUCGGGUUGUAAACUUCUUUUGUCAGGGACGAAGCAAGUGACGGUACCUGACGAAUAAGCCACGGCUAACCACGUGCCAGCAGCCGCGGUAAUACGUAGGUGGCAAGCGUUAUCCGGAUUUACUGGGUGUAAAGGGCGUGUAGGCGGGACUGCAAGUCAGAUGUGAAAACCACGGGCUCAACCUGUAGCCUGCAUUUGAAACUGUAGUUCUUGAGUACUGGAGGGGCAGACGGAAUUCCGAGUGUAGCGGUGAAAUGCGUAGAUAUUGGGAGGAAAACCAGUGGCGAGGGCGGUCUGCUGGACAGCACCUGACGCUGAGGCGCGAAAGCGUGGGGAGCAAACAGGAUUAGAUACCCUGGUAGUC